rnacentral:piRNA from 1 species
UAAAGUUUAAAACAACGACAACAACAGGAGC